UGACGGUACCUCUUGAAUAAGCUCCGGCUAACUACGUGCCAGCAGCCGCGGUAAUACGUAUGGAGCAAGCGUUAUCCGGAUUUACUGGGUGUAAAGGGAGCGUAGGCGGAAGGCUAAGUCUGAUGUGAAAACCCAGGGCUCAACCUUGGGACUGCAUUGGAAACUGGUUUUCUAGAGUGUCGGAGGGGUAAGUGGAAUUCCUAGUGUAGCGGUGAAAUGCGUAGAUAUUAGGAGGAACACCAGUGGCGAAGGCGGCUUACUGGACGACAACUGACGCUGAGGCUCGAAAGCGUGGGGAGCAAACAGGAUUAGAUACCCUG
rnacentral:rRNA from 1 species